GGUCAAGCUACAAAGGGCUCAUGGCGGAUACCUUGGCACACAGAGGCGAUGAAGGACGUGGUUACCUGCGAUAUGUCUCGGGGAGCUGGAUACACGCUUUGAUCCGGGAAUUUCCGAAUGGGGCAACCCUUAAAACGGCCAGCUGAAUACAUA
rnacentral:rRNA from 1 species